rnacentral:RNase_P_RNA from 1 species
UCAGAUGGCCGGAUGGCCGCUGGUCAUUCGCAAGGAUGGCUGGAGGAAAGUCCGGGCUCCACGAAAACACGGUGCCGGAUAAUGUCCGGCGGAGGCAACUCCAGGGAUAGCGCCACAGAAAUGACACCGCCUACCGGCCUAAAGCCGCGGCAAGGUUGAAAUGGUGCGGUAAGAGCGCACCGCGCCUUCGGUAACGAAGGCGGCUAGGCAAGCCCCACCGGGAGCAAGACCAAAUAGGGAUGGCACGUAAUCCGUUUUCGGAUAGCCGUCCGGGUAGGUCGCGUGAGGCGUUCGGUAACGAACGUCCCAGAGGAAUGGCCAUCCCUUCAGCAAUGAAGGACAGAACCCGGCUUACAGGCCAUCUGACGCA